GGACCCCCGUGAUGUCCAGCACUGGGCUCUGAUCUCUGUUGAGGACACAGUGCCCCCCGGGACCUUUGACACCCGGGGGUCUGAGUGGGGGAUC
rnacentral:snoRNA from 1 species